ACAUGUAGAUGAGAGGAGAGAGGCUAUGUCUAUCGUCAAUGUCCUGAGCUAUGAACAUCUGAAGGAUCAUUGGCCUAACAUU
rnacentral:snoRNA from 1 species